ensembl:snoRNA SNORA66 Small nucleolar RNA SNORA66
UUGCAAACUCGAUCACUAGCUCUCCAUGAUGUUGCAGAAGCAAGGGGAACCAGGUUUGCUAAAGUAAUUGUGGGGAUAGUAAUGGCUUAGCCUCAGGGACUACUGAGGUAGCCCAUUCUUUCCUACUGCAGUG